CAACAGCCUCCCGAUGGUGGUGACAUCAGCCGCCCAGCUGAAGCCCUGCUGUGAUUCCCUUUGGUCUCAGAAGAAGAAUAAAGUUGUCACAGUCUCCAGGACAGUUGUUGAAGAAAGUAAAGAGUAAAAUUCUUAGGCUGAAACAAAGUUUCAGCUUCUGCAGAAGUUUACAUUGUAUUGGGGGAAGAAAGAGGAAUCACCAUGGUCCACUGGUUUCCCGAACGCACAGCAGCUGUGUGUGUGCACAGGCAGAUGAUCAUCACAAACGUGGGCCUCUGAGGGCAGCAUGAAGAAGGGUUUCUGUGCUGGCGGUGUGCGAGCAGACAGUGGAGAGGUGAACAGUGGAAACGAGAGCUGAAGCACAAGGCCCCUCCGCCUCGUGUGAUCACUCUUGCUGCACAGAUGUGUCACUUCCAGACCCAAUGCAGCUCCUUUCAGGCUUUCCCAUAUGGUCUAAUAAAAACAGGAAAUUUCUGCAGCAUAGUCAUCUCCUGGAAUAGAUAUUUAGCUGGCAGUUUCACUCUCUCAUUUCUUUACAAGAGACGUAUUCUUAGUUCUUCUUUCAUUUCAGUUUCAGGAAAUUUCUUUAUUUCCUACUCUCUACCACCCUUGACUCGAUGAUGGCACGUUAUUGCCCUGCACGUCCACUGCAGAUAAACGUGAUGGGUCCCAUCCUGGACAAGGCUUGACUUCAUUUCCUAAAAUGUGUUUUAUACAGGCUGAUCACUGGAGUGAAGGAUAA